rnacentral:sRNA from 1 species
AGGACUUCAGAUCGAGUUUUCCUGCAAGUUGAAUAGCGCCAAGGCCGCUACAGAAUUUCUCAGAGCACAGGAAGGUUUACUUAUCUCUUUUUCUUUGGAGAAGUUAGUUUUAACCAGUUAAUGGUGAUGUUCAAUUUAGUUUGAGACCAGAUCCCUAAAAAGAAGAGUGCUUUCAUUUGGCCUUAGAGAAAAAAUGAUUACUGAUGCACCCUUGGGUUUUAUUUUGUUUCUGUUUUAGAUCGCCUUGCCAAAACCGGGGAGAUUUGAAUUUAGGGUGGGGCAUGGCCGGGGUGCAGCAGUAACCCACCCCGCGAGCAUUGUUCAGACAUAACAAAGAAGGGGGAAGUUUCUUUCAGGUAAUGUGAGAAGUUUUCCAAGAAAUAUGGAACUGCUGGGUGGGUUGGAAGAAGAACCUCCCCGUCACUUGUCACCUUUAGCUGCCCCGAGCUUGACAUCACUUGACAGAUACUUCUAGUUUGUGUUUAGUUGGUACAAGACUAGCCAGCACGCCUUACUGCUUCUUCCUGCAUAUCAGAUUUUGGAAGCUCAGGCCCAGUAAAAGCAAAAGCCUUAAAGGGAAAUGCCCUGCAAGAGCCUUCUGCUUUCAGACCUGCCAUGCAUACUCGGAUAAGGAAGCACCAUCUCCUGCCAUAGAACCACGAAGGAGAAAAAUGCUAUGCAGAAAACAAGAUCUUUCUCAACAUUUUGUGAUAAUAAACAAUUAUGAUAAUAAA